CUAAAUGAUACCAAGAUUGUGUGAGUU
rnacentral:piRNA from 1 species